CAAUAGCGUAUAUUUAAGUUGUUGCAGUUAAAAAGCUCGUAGUCGGAUUUUGGCUGAGAACGAACGGUCCGCCGUUAGGUGUGCACUGUUUGGUCUCAGCUUCCUGGUGAGGAGGUGUGCUUCACGGCCACUUAGUCACCGUGGUUACUUUGAAAAAAUUAGAGUGUUCAAAGCGGGCUUACGCUUGAAUAUCUUAGCAUGGAAUAACACCAUAGGACUCCUGUCCUAUUUCGUUGGUCUCGGGACGGGAGUAAUGAUUAAGAGGAACAGUUGGGGGCAUUCGUAUUUCAUUGUCAGAGGUGAAAUUCUUGGAUUUAUGAAAGACGAACUUCUGCGAAAGCAUUUGCCAAGGAUGUUUUCAUUGA
rnacentral:rRNA from 1 species